rnacentral:rRNA from 1 species
GACGGAGGAUGCAAGCGUUAUCCGGAAUGAUUGGGCGUAAAGCGUCUGCAGGUGGCAGUUCAAGUCUGCUGUCAAAGACCGGGGCUUAACUUCGGAAAGGCAGUGGAAACUGAACAGCUAGAGUAUGGUAGGGGGCAGAGGGAAUUCCUGGUGUAGCGGUGAAAUGCGUAGAGAUCAGGAAGAACAUCGGUGGCGAAGGCGCUCUGCUGGACCAUAACUGACACUCAGGGACGAAAGCUAGGGGAGCGAACAGG